AGACCGUUGCCCGAGUGGUUAAAGGGGGUGGAUUGUAAAUCCACUGGGUAAUCCUACGUUGGUUCGAAUCCGACACGGUCUA
rnacentral:tRNA from 1 species